rnacentral:piRNA from 1 species
UGCUUGGUAUGACAGCAGAUGUUGACAA